GUCGAGCGGAUGACAGGAGCUUGCUCCUGAAUUCAGCGGCGGACGGGUGAGUAAUGCCUAGGAAUCUGCCUGGUAGUGGGGGACAACGUUUCGAAAGGAACGCUAAUACCGCAUACGUCCUACGGGAGAAAGCAGGGGACCUUCGGGCCUUGCGCUAUCAGAUGAGCCUAGGUCGGAUUAGCUAGUUGGUGAGGUAAUGGCUCACCAAGGCGACGAUCCGUAACUGGUCUGAGAGGAUGAUCAGUCACACUGGAAUUGAGACACGGUCCAGACUCCUACGGGAGGCAGCAGUGGGGAAUAUUGGACAAUGGGCGAAAGCCUGAUCCAGCCAUGCCGCGUGUGUGAAGAAGGUCUUCGGAUUGUAAAGCACUUUAAGUUGGGAGGAA
rnacentral:rRNA from 1 species